rnacentral:rRNA from 1 species
GACAGAGGUGCCGAGCGUUAGGCGGAAUCACUGGGCUUAAAGCGUGUGUAGGCGGACUUCUAAGUCCCUUGUGAAAUCCCACGGCUUACCCGUGGAACUGCUGGGUAUACUGGUCGUCUUGAGCCACCUAGGGGCCAGCGGAACAAAUGGUGGAGCGGUGAAAUGCGUAGAUAUCAUUUGGAACGCCAACGGUGAAAACAGCUGGCUGGGGGUGUGCUGACGCUGAGACACGAAAGCCAGGGGAGCGAACGGG